rnacentral:rRNA from 1 species
AUACGGAGGGUGCAAGCGUUAUUCGGAAUCACUGGGCGUAAAGGACGCGUAGGCGGGUUGGCAAGUCAGAUGUGAAAUCCUACAGCUUAACUGUAGAACUGCAUUUGAAACUGCUAACCUAGAGUAUGGGAGGGGGAGAUGGAAUUAGUGGUGUAAGGGUAAAAUCCGUAGAUAUCACUAGGAAUACCGAAAGCGAAGGCGAUCUCCUGGAACAUACCUGACGCUAAGGCGUGAAAGCGUGGGGAGCAAACAGGAUUAGAAACCCCAGUAGUCC